rnacentral:rRNA from 1 species
GAUGAACGCUGGCGGCGUGCCUAAUACAUGCAAGUCGAGCGAACAGACGAGGAGCUUGCUCCUCUGACGUUAGCGGCGGACGGGUGAGUAACACGUGGAUAACCUACCUAUAAGACUGGGAUAACUUCGGGAAACCGGAGCUAAUACCGGAUAAUAUAUUGAACCGCAUGGUUCAAUAGUGAAAGACGGUUUUGCUGUCACUUAUAGAUGGAUCCGCGCCGCAUUAGCUAGUUGGUAAGGUAACGGCUUACCAAGGCAACGAUGCGUAGCCGACCUGAGAGGGUGAUCGGCCACCCUGGAACUGAAACCCGGUCCCAACCCCUACGGGGGGCAGGAGUGGGGAAUUUUCCGCAAGGGGCGAAAGCCUGACGGAGCAACGCCGGGGGAGUGAAGAAGGUCUUGGGAUCGUAAAACUCUGUUAUUAGGGAAAAAAAAAUGUGUAAGUAACUAUGCACGUUUUGACGGUACCUAAUCAGAAAGCCCCGGCUAACUACGU